UACGGGGGGGGCAAGCGUUGUUCGGAAUUACUGGGCGUAAAGCGCGUGUAGGCGGCUUCGCAAGUCGGAUGUGAAAUCCCACGGCUCAACCGUGGAAGUGCAUUCGAAACUGCAAGGCUAGAGUCCUGGAGAGGAAGGUGGAAUGCUUGGUGUAGAGGUGAAAUUCGUAGAUAUCAAGCGGAACACCGGUGGCGAAGGCGGCCUUCUGGACAGUGACUGACGCUGAGACGCGAAAGCGUGGGGAGCAAACAGG
rnacentral:rRNA from 1 species